UACGUAGGGAGCAAGCGUUGUCCGGAAUCAUUGGGCGUAAAGCGCGCGUAGGCGGCUCGAUCAGUCUGUUGUGAAAGUCAAAGGCUCAACCUUUGAAUGCCGAUGGAUACUGUCGAGCUAGAGUCCGGAAGAGGCGGGUGGAAUUCCUGGUGUAGCGGUGGAAUGCGCAGAUAUCAGGAGGAACACCAAUAGCGAAGGCAGCUCGCUGGGACGUUACUGACACUAAGGCGCGAAAGCGUGGGGAGCGAACAGG
rnacentral:rRNA from 1 species